AGUGAACGCUGGCGGUAGGCCUAACACAUGCAAGUCGAACGGCAGCACAGUAAGAGCUUGCUCUUACGGGUGGCGAGUGGCGGACGGGUGAGGAAUACAUCGGACUCUACUUUUUCGUGGGGGAUAACGUAGGGAAACUUACGCUAAUACCGCAUACGACCUACGGGUGAAAGCAGGGGAUCUUCGGACCUUGCGCGAUUGAAUGAGCCGAUGUCGGAUUAGCUAGUUGGCGGGGUAAAGGCCCACCAAGGCGACGAUCCGUAGCUGGUCUGAGAGGAUGAUCAGCCACACUGGAACUGAGACACGGUCCGGACUCCUACGGGAGGCAGCAGUGGGGAAUAUUGGACAAUGGGCGCAAGCCUGAUCCAGCCAUACCGCGUGGGUGAAGAAGGCCUUCGGGUUGUAAAGCCCUUUUGUUGGGAAAGAAAAGCAGCAGGUUAAUACCCCGCUGUUCUGACGGUACCCAAAGAAUAAGCACCGGCUAACUUCGUG
rnacentral:rRNA from 1 species